CAUGCAAGUCUACUUGAUCCUUCGGGUGAAGGUGGCGGACGGGUGAGUAACGCGUNCNUUNCUUGCCUUACAGACUGGGACAACAUUUGGAAACGAAUGCUAAUACCGGAUAUUAUGACUGAGUCGCAUGAUUUGGUUAUGAAAGCUAUAUGCGCUGUGAGAGAGCUUUGCGUCCCAUUAGUUAGUUGGUGAGGUAACGGCUCACCAAGACGAUGAUGGGUAGCCGGCCUGAGAGGGUGAACGGCCACAAGGGGACUGAGACACGGCCCUUACUCCUACGGGAGGCAGCAGUGGGGAAUAUUGGACAAUGGACCAAAAGUCUGAUCCAGCAAUUCUGUGUGCACGAUGAAGUUUUUCGGAAUGUAAAGUGCUUUCAGUUGGGAAGAAGUCAGUGACCGUACCAACAGAAGAAGCGACGGCUAAAUACGUGCCAGCAGCCGCGGUAAUACGUAUGUCGCAAGCGUUAUCCGGAUUUAUUGGGCGUAAAGCGCGUCUAGGCGGUUUAGUAAGUCUGAUGUGAAAAUGCGGGGCUCAACCCCGUAUUGCGUUGGAAACUGUUAAACUAGAGUACUGGAGAGGUAGGCGGAACUACAAGUGUAGAGGUGAAAUUCGUAGAUANUUUGUAGGAAUGCCGAUGGGGAAGCCAGCCUACUGGACAGAUACUGACGCUAAAGCGCGAAAGCGUGGGUAGCAAACAGGAUUAGAUACCCUGGUAGUCCACGCCGUAAACGAUGAUUACUAGGUGUUGGGGGUCGAACCUCAGCGCCCAAGCUAACGCGAUAAGUAAUCCGCCUGGGGAGUACGUACGCAAGUAUGAAACUCAAAGGAANUUGACGGGGGACCCGCACAAGCGGUGGAGCAUGUGGUUUAAUUCGACGCAACGCGAGGAACCUUACCAGCGUUUGACAUCCCAAGAAGUUAACAGAGAUGUUUUCGUGCCUCUUCGGAGGAACUUGGUGACAGGUGGUGCAUGGCUGUCGUCAGCUCGUGUCGUGAGAUGUUGGGUUAAGUCCCGCAACGAGCGCAACCCCUUUCGUAUGUUACCAUCAUUAAGUUGGGGACUCAUGCGAGACUGCCUGCGAUGAGCAGGAGGAAGGUGGGGAUGACGUCAAGUCAUCAUGCCCCUUAUACGCUGGGCUACACACGUGCUACAAUGGGUAGUACAGAGAGCUGCAAACCUGCGAGGGUAAGCUAAUCUCAUAAAACUAUUCUUAGUUCGGAUUGUACUCUGCAACUCGAGUACAUGAAGUUGGAAUCGCUAGUAAUCGCAAAUCAGAAUAUGUUGCGGUGAAUACGUUCUCGGGUCUUGUACACACCNNNAAAGGGCACCACGAGAGUUGGUUGCACCUGAAGUAAACAGGCCUAACCGUAAGGAGGGAUUUCCGAAGGUG
rnacentral:rRNA from 1 species